rnacentral:rRNA from 1 species
UACGUAGGGUGCAAGCGUUAAUCGGAAUUAUUGGGCGUAAAGAGCUCGUAGGUGGUUUGUCGCGUUGUUCGUGAAAACUCACAGCUUAACUGUGGGCGUGCGGGCGAUACGGGCAGACUGGAGUACUGCAGGGGAGACUGGAAUUCCUGGUGUAGCGGUGGAAUGCGCAGAUAUCAGGAGGAACACCGGUGGCGAAGGCGGGUCUCUGGGCAGUAACUGACGCUGAGGAGCGAAAGCGUGGGGAGCGAACAGG